AGGGGGAGCCAACUACCCUCUCUUUCUCCCCCCACCGUGGUGUUGUACUGUGGAGAUCCAGCCCAAGCUCGAAACUGAAGAUUCG
rnacentral:ribozyme from 1 species